rnacentral:rRNA from 1 species
CCUACGGGGGGCAGCAGUGAGGAAUAUUGGUCAAUGGACGAGAGUCUGAACCAGCCAAGUAGCGUGAAGGAUGACUGCCCUAUGGGUUGUAAACUUCUUUUAUAUGGGAAUAAAAUGUUCCACGUGUGGGAUUUUGUAUGUACCAUAUGAAUAAGGAUCGGCUAACGUCGUGCCAGCAGCCGCGGUAAUACGGAGGAUCCGAGCGUUAUCCGGAUUUAUUGGGUUUAAAGGGAGCGUAGGUGGAUUGUUAAGUCAGUUGUGAAAGUUUGCGGCUCAACCGUAAAAUUGCAGUUGAAACUGGCAGUCUGGAGUACAGUAGAGGUGGGCGGAAUUCGUGGUGUAGCGGUGAAAUGCUUAGAUAUCACGAAGAACUCCGAUUGCGAAGGCAGCUCACUGGACUGCAACUGACACUGAGGCUCGAAAGUGUGGGUAUCAAACAGGAUUAGAUACCCCAGUAGUC